GCCCCUCAGCCUUACUCUGGGGGCUUUUGCCGUAAAGCGCCCCGGCAUUGCCUGAGGGUAGAGGAAGAGCACUCAUCCCUCCCCGGGGAGCCCGUCUUCCUUUGGGGCCUGCAGGCAGGGCUGACAGC